UGAUGUGUGUAUUGUUUUGUUAUGUUUUUCUUACGUUAGAUUUAGGUUUUGUAAGUUGGAAGCAAUUCUUCUAUCAUAGAAAUUCUAUGUUCUACGUACAUUUGUUAUUUUUCAACUUGGUUUUUUUUAUUUGUUUAUUAUUUUGUGUAGUACCAAAGGUAAACUUUCACGUUGCUGGCCACCUUAAAUUAUCCUUCUCAAUAGCUAAAAAGAAAAACUUAUACUAUGCUGUUCACACGUAAGUUCUUGGUCUUAUGGACAUUAUUUGUGUGAAUCCUGAGUAAAUGAAAAAUGUAUGAGCUCAAAAUUAAAAUAC
rnacentral:lncRNA from 1 species